rnacentral:lncRNA from 10 species
GAGAGGACCAGAGCCUUAGCCUGGAAUUUUCCUAAGAAAAAGCUCACAGAUCAUUUGGGACCUUUAAAUACAGAUGCCUUGUUGAAACCCAGCUAGGAAGCAAUAAGAUCAGAUAUGGUAAAUAAGGAGAAAUUCAAAAAUCCCUGUUGUGUAGACACAUCAUUUUCUGUAAAUAAUUACUUGAUCUUUCUUUCAAGUGGUAAAUAGCCAUUUAUUGAGUAUUCUUGCUUUGAUUGUCUACGUAAGCAUGUAAGACUACAACAUUACGACCCAUCUCUUCAAGAGGAAGUCUGGUAUUAUGGAAAAACAUUUUGUCAUUCAGAUUUUUUUUUCUUACAGUAUGCCCAUCACAAACCAGGCAGCAAGCAAGGUAUUGGGUGCUACUCAAUCCAGUGAAGUCUUGAGGGUCCCUUCCCUCUGUGAAGCAUAUAAUCUAGUGGGGUAGACUGCUAGCUACUAACUAUGAAAACAACAUAGUCUGACUUGAGAGUGGGGAAAGUGGAACAAGGGAGUAAUUUUUAUAUUUUUCUUCACAUUUAAAAAUAUUUUCUAAACAAUCCAAUAUAAUCUUUUCUAUAAUUUCCAAUACAAUCAACAUGUAUUACUUGUAAAAUAAUAGCAUACAUAUAUCGACAGACUGAAGAAGGUAUACUAUUAGAGAACAUUUGCAGAAAAGAAUUCCACAUCUUUUUUUUGAGACAGAGUUCUGCUGUCACCCAGGCUGGAGUGCAGUGGCAGCAAUCUAGGCUCACUGCAACCUCCACCUCUUGGGUUCAAGCAAUUCUCCUGCCUCAGCCUCCUGAGUAGCUGGGCCUACAGGCACGCGCCACCACACCCAGAUGAACUCCUGACCUCAGAUGAUCCACCCACCUUGGCCUCCCAAAGUGAUGGAAUUACAGGCGUGAGCCACUGCACCUGGCCGAGAAUUCCACAUUUUAAGAAUAUGGUAAAAGAGUUUUAUUCUCUUCAGUAAGAUGAGGUUGAGAAUAAAAAAUUAAAAAGAUUAAGCAAAUGACACUUUCACAUCAUAGGGUAGUAAUAAUGAACUUUAAUAAUCUUAAAAAAAUACUUAUUGGGGAUAAGAAAUGUGGUUUACAAGUAAACUGUUACUUUCUAGACUUAACCCAAGAAGUUAAUGGAGUAGGUGUGUUUCAGUAAAGUAACAGGAAAUGGUACAGAAACCACCAAUGGUCAUCAUGCUUGAGAGUCAAUACAGCACAUAAUUCACAGCACAGAUGAGGCUGGGUGCAGCAAUUCAUGCCUGCAAUUCUACCACUUUGGGAAGCUCAGGCGAGAGGAUCACUUGAGCCCAGGAAUUUGAGACCAGCGUGGGCAACAAGGCUAGACCCCAUCUCUACAAAAUAUAUAUUUAAAAUUAGUUGGGUGUUACCCAGGCAUGGUGGCUCACACCUAUAAUCCCAGUACUUUGGGUAGCCGGGGGAGGUGGAUCACUUGAGGUCAGGAGUUUGAGAUCAGCCUGGCCAACAAGGUGAAACCUUGUCUCUACGAAAAAUACAAAAAUCAGCCAGGCAUUAUGGUGGGUACCUGUAAUCUCAGCUACUUUGGAGGCUGAAGCACGAGAAUUGCUUGAUCUUGGGAGGCAGAGGUUGCAGUGAGCCAAGAUUGUGCCACUGUACUCCGGCCUGGGCAACAGAGUGAGACUUCAACUCAAAAAAACAAAAAUAAAUAAAAAUGAAAAAUAAAAAAAUAUAUAUAUAAAAUUAGGUACGUGUGGUGGUGCAUGCCUGUGGUUCCACCUAAUCAAGAGGCAGUGGCAGGAGGAUUGCUUGAGCCCAGGAGUUUACGGCUGCAGUGAGCUAUGAUCACGCUACUACACUCCAGCCUGGGCAACAGAGCAAGAGGUUGUCUUUUUUUUUUUUUUCUUUCUGAGACAGGAUCUCACUCUGUUGCCCAGGUUGGAAAGCAGUGGCAUGAUCUCAGCUCACUGCUGCCUCAGUCUCCCAGGCUCAAGUGAUCCUCCCACCUCAGUCUCCCAAGUAGCUGGAACUACAGGUGCACACCAUCACAUCCAGUUAUUUUUUUUUUUUUGACGGAGUCUCGCACUGUUGCCCAGGCUGGAGCGCAAUGGCACGAUCUCAGCUCACUGCAACCUCCACCUCCCAGGUUCAAGCAAUUCUCCUGCCUCAGACUCCUGAGUAGCUGGGAUUACAGGCACUCACCGCCAUGCCCAGCUGGCCUAAUUUUUGUAUUUUUUUUUUUAGCAGAGAUAGGAUUUUGCCAUGUUGCCCAGGCUGGUCUCAAACUCCUGAGCCCAAGUGAUCCACCUGCCUUGGCCUCCCGAAGUGCUGGGAUUACAGGCAUGAGCCACCAUGCCCCACCAAGACAAACAAAACAAAACAAAACAAAACAAAACAAAACAAAAACAGUAUAGAUGAAAGGCAGCCAGCCUGGGUUCAAAUCCUACCGUUGCUACUUAUUAUUAAAUAAACGUAAGAAUCUUAUGGACGUUACUUUACCUCUCUAGCACCUUGACUUUCAAAUCUGCAAAACAGGAUAAUAACACCUAUUUCUUUAUAACAUUGUUAUAAGGAUUAAGUAGGUUAAUAUAUGUGAAAUACUUAGAGUAAUGUCUGGUACACAGUAGGCACUAAAUAAGUGUUAGCAGCCAGGUGCGGUGGCUCACAAGGUCAGGAGUUUGUGACCACACUGGCCAACAUAGUGAAACCCUGUCUCUACUAAAAAUAUAAAAAUUAGCUGGGCAUGGUGGCGUGUGCCUGUAGUCCCAGCUACUCGGGAGGCUGAGGCAGGAGAAUCACUUAAACCCGGAAGGCGGCGGUUGUGGUGAGCUGAGAUCGCACCACUGCACUCCAGCCCAAGCAACAGAGCGAGACUCCGUCUCAAAAAAAAAAAAAAAAAAAAAAGUAUAGCUACUAUUAUAAUCCUGUGAAAAUAAUCAAUAUAAAAUUAAAAAUCAACAGACAGCCCAUAUUGCCCUUUUUUGGCCUAACAAAAAACAGAUUUCUAAGAAGACAGUAAGAAAUCAGUAUUAAUUUAAACAUUGUACAGGACAGGAGAUCAAAAGCACAGGUAUACAAAUGGUUCAUUUAAAAAAACUGAUACUCAAAUUGACACCCUGAAAAUGUCAGAUAAUUUUUCAGAAUGAUUAAACUCACUAAACAUCUGUAAACAAUAAAUUUAUUUCAUUUCUUUUAAAGAUUUAAUGAUAUACAAAACGUAUAUAGUAUCUUUAAGUAAUACACUUUUUCUUUCUCCC